GAAAAACAAACGGCAUCACAAAUUGCUAGAAAUAAAAGAAAGCUCAUAUUGCUUGACAAAAGAACUCGAGUGAUAUGUCUUCAGGAGAUAUUUUGGAUUUGGCGCAAUCACAAAGCCAAGUUAGAUCUAAGAGACAUGUGGUUCGAAGUUCAACAAUUCUCAGAUCAGUCACACGGAGAAUUAUAAAUGAUGCUACUAUUCAAGAUGAGUGUGUUACACAUGACAAUAAUGACAGCAUCGUAGCUG